rnacentral:rRNA from 1 species
AGCUGCGAUAAAUAGUGCGAAUUGCAGACGCAUUGAGCACAAAAAUUUCGAAUGCACAUUGCACCAUUGGGUUGAUACCCGAUGGUACGUCUGGUUGAGGGUCAAU